GCUUAACACAUGCAAGUCGAGGGGUAACAUUGAUUGCUUGCUAUCAGAUGACGACCGGCGCACGGGUGCGUAACGCGUAUACAAUUUGCCUUGUACAGGAGGAUAGCCUUUAGAAAUGAAGAUUAAUACCUCAUAAUACUUUAUGUGUAGGCAUCAUUCUCUAGUUAAAUAUUUAUGGGUAUGAGAUGAGUAUGCAUCCUAUUACUUAGGUGGUAAGGUAACGGCUUACCAUGACAACCAUAGGGAGGGGGUCUGAGAGGAAUAUCCCCCACACUGGUACAGAGACACGGACCAGACUCCUACGGGAGGCAGCA
rnacentral:rRNA from 1 species